AUGUCUGUCAUUGCUGGCUGGUCUAUUUAUAAAGGCUUGUUAACAAAUAUCCUACAAACACAGAAAAUGGAGAAAAAAAGGACUCGCAAGCCGAACUGGACUGAGGAGCAAGGUUUGUUGCUGGCCCAGUUGGUGAACGAACAUAAAGGUAUGUUACGAGGAAAAUUUGGCCCAACUGUCACUAGCCAAAGCAAGAGGCGCGCCUGGGACACAAAAUCCCAAACAAUCAAUGCCUCUUUUCCACUGGUGGCGCGGACAGGCGACGAUUGUGAGAAAAGGUGGUAUGUGCUGCAGUCCAAGGCAAAAGAUGAGAUUGCAGCACACAAGCGGGAAUCCUCACUCACAGGGGGUGGACCACCCGCAAAGCUGCUGUCCCAGGUGGCCGACACUGUCUUUCAAGUCCUGGGACACUCUGAGGUCAGUGUCACCGGGCUGCCAACAGGCAUUGACACAUCAAUGAUGCAGGCCCUUGAAGUGCAGCAAAGCAUGGAGCCAUCACAAGAACCGGGCCCAUCAAGUUUGCCGAUGAGAUUGCCUUCAGGAGGAGUACUACCGCCUUAA
rnacentral:lncRNA from 1 species